rnacentral:lncRNA from 1 species
AAAGCCAGUGAAGUGCUUGAAUCAUGUCAUCCUCGUCCCAGGAUAAGAUGAUCCUAUAGAUCCUGGGUAGCGCUGAGUGUCGAGGAGAUCCAGAAGACCUGCAGCAUGAAUUGGAAGUACGUGUGGUCCCCUCCUGGAGCACCGCUGGGUGUAAGCUGAGCCCUGGAGCUGUCUGUAGGAAGCUGUGCUGGAGAGAGGUGCAGGGAUCCCAGGGGCAUCUGAUUUCCUGCUGCACCUUCUGCUCACACCCCCGAGAACUUCUGCCUUUCAGACCCCCCAGGAACCACAUGCAGGGUGUAUUGAGAGCGUGGUGGCUGAGGGAUAUACAGAAAGCCAAGCUGGGAGUGGAAGCACAGCCCCAAAAUGCAUGUGCACAGCCAGUAAUUUGUGUGCUCGCAGAGCAUUUUCCAUCACAUGAGCCUGAAAUGGAAGAGGAUUUAUGGAAUGGAGAGCAUGAGGCACCAAUUCAGCAAAUACCAGAGUGUGUAUCCGUGGUUCAUCAUUAUGGAGGCUGUUGGUGGCCCUGCCUAUGCUCUGAUGCUUCCUCUGGAGUUCAGCUUCGAAGUAAUCUCAGAUCACAUUGCAAACUUUUUUUCAAGCCAGAGACCUGUCUGUAA